rnacentral:rRNA from 1 species
CUGCGCCACGAGUGGUGAUCGCGUUUAUUGGGCCUAAAGCGUCCGUAGCCGGAUUAGUAACUCUUUUGUGAAAUUGUGGGUCCUAAGCUAACAACGUGCAGAAGAAACUGCUGAUCUUGGGACCGGAGAGAAGUCAGAAGUAUGCCUGGGGGAGCGGUAAAAUGCUAUAAUCCUAGGUGGACUACCGGUGGCGAAGGCGUCUGACUAGAACGGAUCUGACGGUGAGGGACGAAAGCUGAGGGAGCAAUCCGGAUUAGAUACCCGAGUAGUCC